rnacentral:rRNA from 1 species
AAAUGAAUUGACGGGGACCCGCACAAGCGGUGGAGCAUGUGGUUUAAUUCGAAGCAACGCGAAGAACCUUACCAAGUCUUGACAUCCCUCUGACCGGACAGUAAUGUGUCCUUCCCUUCGGGGCAGAGGAGACAGGUGGUGCAUGGUUGUCGUCAGCUCGUGUCGUGAGAUGUUGGGUUAAGUCCCGCAACGAGCGCAACCCUUAUCCUUAGUAGCCAGCAGGUAGAGCUGGGCACUCUAGGGAGACUGCCGGGGAUAACCUGGAGGAAGGUGGGGAUGACGUCAAAUCAUCAUGCCCCUUAUGAUUUGGGCUACACACGUGCUACAAUGGCGUAAACAAAGAGAAGCGACAGGGUGACCUUAAGCCAAUCUCAAAAAUAACGUCCCAGUUCGGAUUGUAGUCUGCAACUCGACUACAUGAAGCUGGAAUCGCUAGUAAUCGCGAAUCAGAAUGUCGCGGUGAAUACGUUCCCGGGUCUUGUACACACCGCCCGU